AGACGGUUAAGGAAACGCAGUGUGCUUCUCCAACAUUUGGAGAGCUGAUCCGUGAAAGAAGAAUCAGACCUUUUUUCUUAGCAGCAGAGAACAGAACUAGGACUAAUAAGUGAAAGCUAAAGGGAGGCUGCUUUCAAGUCACAGCAAGAAAGAAUUUUGUCCACAAAUGAGGAUGCACAAAUAAUAAGCUCCCCCACGAAUCACUGAGUUUCCUCUGUGAAGGCGACAAUUCUGACGGAAAAUGUGUUGGAGAGAAGAGAUUUUAAAAAAUCAACUAGAUCACAUCCAAUAGCAUAAACAAGAAGGAAGGAGGGAAGUUGCGGUGGCAAGCACCUGUAGUCCUAGCUACUCCGGAGGCUGAGGCAGGAAGCUCGCUGAGCUCAAAAGUUCAAAAGCUCGAUGCCAUCCUGGACAACAUAGCAAGACCACGUCUAAAAAAAAAAAAAAAAAAAGACGUGACAAAUAUGAAAACAUAAAGCAUGCAAAAGACUUUUCUAGAUUUCAAUCUAUAAGAAAGCAUGUCCUAAGAAAAAGAUGUUCUUAACAAUUGCUUUGUACUAAACAGCAACUUAAUAUGGUGAUGAAUUAUGUUGUUUUUAAAGUUGCAAACUGUCAUUUAAGGAAUAUUAUUUCCAUGAACGCUUCCUGUACAAUCUGUUAAAGGAUAAACUUCACACAGCCAAACAGUUGAAGAGACUUCAUCAUAAAUAGACUAUCCUAUAUCACAGCUAACAAGAACAAAAAAGGAAUGUGGUAUGAAAGCAUAAAAACAAAAAUAUCUCAGAAAAUCAUAUAGAGAAAACUAAAAUACAUGGGCUAGAAUUCCACCCCAGGGACUGUAUCCUCAAAGACACAGUUUUUUCUUCUUUUUUUUUCAUGUUUCAGUGCUCUGAGUAGCUACAAAAAGAAGACCAGCCUAUCCUGCUGGAGAGAGUGGCCAGGUGAAGAAAGAGCCCUUGGAGUGUGAAAGACCACAGGGAAAGAGAGGCCACAUGGAACCAACAGUCAGCACCUUGGUUUUGGACAUGUGAAGAAAUUCAUCUCAGACUGUGUAUCCUAAAUCAGGCACUUGCCAAAUGCAACUACAUGAGCAAGACCAGUUGACAACACACGGAGCAGAGCCACACAGCUGAACUACCGGACAUGUGAAUGAAGCUAGUUUGGAAGUUCCAGCCCUGGCUAAACACCCAGCUGAGUGCAGCCACCUGAGUGACCCCAGCCAAUAAUAUCCAGAGCAGGAGAAUCAUCCAGUUCUCAGUGUCUCCUCUAGAAGGCGCUUUCAAUUUUCCAACCACAGCUUGGGAGGCUGUUCCAGUCUUGCUGACUUUUAGUGAGAAGAAAACAGUUUCCAGUGAAGGAGUUCCCACUCUGAAGAAUAUGGAUGAGGAUUCAGAGUCAUCCUCCACCCUCGGGGAUGGAGCCAAAUUUAGGGCUCCUUGGGCACAGGCAUAAAGGUGGACCCAUCUUCUAGACACUGGCCAAACACACACAAAAAGUGAGAACUUGCAGAAGAGGGAAGAAAGGAAAGAGACAUCAUGAUGCCCAGCAGGAAAUGAGAUUUUGCAGGCUGACCUGAUAGAAUAAAGAAAUAUAUGUUUGUUAUCAUUUUUCUGACUCACUGUAUUGUGACCAAUCAUAGUGUUUUUAUUUUUACUAAGACCUUUACCAGGCUUUACUUGGUUUGUAACUCUUGAGUUACCUUUAAGGAUAAUUGAAUUUUAUCUCUUUCUGUCUAACUUACAAAUUUUCUCUACGUAAGUUUUUUUGACAACUCUACUUCAGUAUAAAGGAUAUUUAAGUAUUUUAAUUGUACAGUUUUAUGAGUUUUGACACAUGCAUAUACACCUGAAGCCAUCACCACAUUCACGAGGGGGAGGACACCCAAAUUUCUUUGUGUCCAUCUCUUCCUUAUCUUGCCUCCUUGCCCCUUCACCAGGCAGCAACUGAUCUGUGUUCUGUCAUUAUAAAUUAGUUUGAAUUUUCUAGUAUUUUACAUAAAUGGAAUUACAUAGUA